rnacentral:piRNA from 1 species
UGAGCCUUGACCUCUUGCCUCACACACACC